CCUAAAGAUCCAGAAAUUUCCAAGUGCUAUAAUCUGAGGCAGGCAACCGAGCCUCUAACUCAUGGGCCUUGAGAGACAGAUAUGGAACAGCAGCAGUCUGAAUAGGACAUAAAGGUGUGGGUUACCCUGGCAAGGUGCCUUGAAGGGUGCAGCACUUGCACCUAAGUUCAGAUCCCGAGCACCCGUAUCAGCUGGGUAGGAAGGCAGCUCAGGUCUGUAACCUCAAAUCUGGGGAAUGAGACAGGUAAAUCCCUCAAUCUUGCUGGCCUGCCAGCCUAGCUCAACCAAGGAACUCUGAAUUCAGCGAGAGAGAGACUCUGUCCCAAAACGGAAUAUGGAAAGUAACGAAGUAGCACGAAGGACUUCAAAAUCUGGCUUCUCAUGUACACAUCAGCACAUAUGUGUACACAUAUACAAAAGGUAGGCAAAGGGAACCCCCCCUCAAGGAUUAUAUAAUCAAUAUAGCCCACAUAAACGACACAAAAGCUUGGUAUUUUAUUUGACAAGCGGUAAGCCUAGAUUGGGCAGGUUUUGAGCUAUUCUAAUGUACAUCUAAUCCAUAAGUCCCGUGUUACUUGCUGUCUAUGUCUCUCUAUUUCUGUUACAUCAGCCUGUCCCCAAGGGCCACUUCUUCUGGCCAUGUAUUCAUGACCCAUCAGCAUCAUGGCAGCCCCCUGUUCUCCCUUCUGUCCCCUCCUUUCUCCUGUUCUCUCCUGAGACCCCUCACUGGAUUCUCAGGUUCUGCCUUUCGCUACUGCCCAAUCACAGACUCCAGCCUUUUAUUAACCAUAACUUUAAAUUUGGGAACAAGGUUUAGACAAUAAAGGCCAGUGUACAUGAGAAUUCACUUGUCCAGGGCCAACCAGAUUUGGGGGUUCAGAAUUUAGCAUUUGAAUACAUAGCAGCACCAGAUCAGUUAUUUGUUGUCAGUCACAUUUAUUUAAUCAGUUAGAGAAUAAGAUGUGCAAAGUUUACAAAGCAUCACUUGGUGUACCUGAGGAUCUGCUCCUGGGGGCGACCAGAUCUUGGGGUCCAGUGUUUAGCAUUUGAAAACACAGCAGCACCAGACCAACACAUACAUUCUCUCUCAAUCUCUCUCUCUCUCUCUCUCUCUCUCUCUCUCUCUCUCUCUCUCUCUCUCUCUCUCUCUUCCCCUUGGCGCUGAAAUAUCACUCUUUUCCUGUCUUCGGCAUCAGGAUCAACAUUUCUGGAUCUUGGGGUUUUGAGCCGAAACUUAACAACAGCAGCUCAGGCAUCUGAACUAAGUUGCACUACUGGCUUUUGGAUGGCAGGCCUGGUUAAUUGCAUAAGUCAAUGCCAUACUAAGUUUCCUCUUACUGUGCCUAUAGUUCCUAUAGGAACUCUGAUAAAUACAAUCACCGUCAAUGAAAAUACCUAAGCUUAAUUGAUGAAUGGGUAAAAGGCUGCUGUGUUUGCACUGUGUAGUUGUUAUCUGUAGUUUGAAACAUUACUUGUAGUAGUAGCAGGAAACCUUGUAACUAGUGGGAAAGCCACAAGACUCCUCAUCAGCUGUUGGGAAGGGGAGACUCUGUGACCUGUCCAGCUGCCGGCAAGUCUGCAAGCCCUGCGUGCAGCUCCAGUGAUGCCCCUGGAUGGAGUUGCCACCCAGUCUGGAGUGGGCUUUGCACUGAUGCAGCUACCAAGUCGUGCCUGUUUCUGUAAGUAACUCCAAUGCACUCACUGGAUCACCCAGCUGGACUUGGGAGUAGAAUCAAUUCUUUUGUAUGUCCUCAGUUGGCCUUUCUGGGAUGAACAGACGUUUCUUCAAACCUCCUCAGGAAAAUCCACACAUCAGUUUGUAAACCAGCAUAGCUGAACAGAAGAAGUAAUAAGAGGAACUGAUAGGCAGCUUGGGCAUGAGAGGCCACUGGCGGGUGUUCACUGAUGGCACCUGUAAGUAUAAUAUCUUAUGUGCACGAUCGCAUUAGCCUUUCAUAAGUGCUUCACUUAGCCCAUGAGUACAAAGACGGCACUUACAGUGCCUCACUCCAGACCACAGGUCAAUAAGUUGAGGCCUAGCAGGCUGACUUCACUAUCAGGCUUCGCUUUGGUAAUUGGAGUCUCUCUUAUAAUGAAAGGGAAUAUUGUAGGUUGUAAUUAAAAUGUCUAUAUUCUAUAACCAGAAAGAUGGAAUGGACAACUGACUGAAGAGCAAGUCUGUGCCACUGAAGGAGGUUCUCCUAGGCAGCACUGGCUGUGCGGGCCAUUUCUAGCUUUACAUUCCAGAGUGAGGCUCUGGCAAUGCCUCAGAGAUCACUCAAGAGCACCGAAGAGUCUGAUGUAGCAGUCAUAAGAGAAUCUUGAGGAAGCAACAUACUUUUUACCCACAAUGAAAUAUUACAUCAGAAGGUAUAUAAGAGUAUUCUGUCAAAAAUAUGUAGUAAACUGAAAAAUACAUACAAGUUCAUUUUUGAAAACUGUCUUCAGAUCAAGGUAAGAGACAGGUGUUAAAGGUUUUUAUGCUGAGUUUCUGUCUGGAUUAUUACAGAGGUCUCUUGACUCAUUCCCAAGUCCUCUUCCCCAGCACUAAGCUCUCAGCGCUAUGAUGCUUGAACACAGCAAACCAGACGAAGCUCAGCAGUGACUUGCAACCGCUUUCCCAUUAAAUCCUAUUCUCUCA